UCUUUGUUAGUAUAGUGUGGGUCAGUAUACCCACUUGUCAUGCAGGCGACCUGGGUUCAAUUCCCAGACAGAGAG
rnacentral:tRNA from 1 species